rnacentral:rRNA from 1 species
ACUCCUACGGGAGGCAGCAGUGGGGAAUCUUGCGCAAUGGGCGAAAGCCUGACGCAGCGACGCCGCGUGAGGGAAGAAGGCCUUCGGGUUGUAAACCUCUUUCAGGAGGGACGAAGCCACUCGGGUUAAUAGCCCAGAGGGUGACGGUACCUCCAGAAGAAGCCCCGGCUAACUACGUGCCAGCAGCCGCGGUAAUA